rnacentral:rRNA from 1 species
AGUGGCAGACGGGUGAGUAAUGUAUAGGAAUCUACCUAGUAGUACGGAAUAAUUGUUGGAAACGGCAACUAAUACCGUAUACGCCCUACGGGGGAAAAAUUUAUUGCUAUUAGAUGAGCCUAUAUUAGAUUAGUUAGUUGGUGAGGUAAAGGCUUACCAAGACAAUGAUCUAUAGCCGAUCUGAGAGGAUGAUCAGCCACACUGGAACUGAGAUACGGUCCAGACUCCUACGGGAGGCAGCAGUGGGGAAUAUUGGACAAUGGGCGAAAGCCUGAUCCAGCCAUGCCGCAUGAGUGAAGAAGGCCUUCGGGUUGUAAAGCUCUUUUAGUGAGGAAGAUAAUGACGGUACUCACAGAAGAAGUCCUGGCUAACUCUGUGCCAGCAGCCGCGGUAAUACGGAGAGGGCUAGCGUUAUUCGGAAUCAUUGGGCGUAAAGGGCGCGUANGCGGGUUAAUAAGUUAAAAGUGAAAUCCCAAGGCUCAACCUUGGAACUGCUUUUAAAACUGCUAGUCUAGAGAUUGAAAGAGGAUAGAGGAAUUCCUAGUGUAGAGGUGAAAUUCGUAAAUAUUANGAGGAACACCAGUGGCGAAGGNGUCUAUCUGGGUUCAAAUCUGACGCUGAG